GCCUCGACCGAGUCCAUCACGUGAAAAAAGGAGGAGCAAUCGACGCAAGCCCUUCCUAUUCAAUCACGGCAUCACACAGGCCGCGGACGCAGCUAUUCGAGCCCUAGCCGCCGACACCCGACGUUCGUACUGGUACUGCCGGUGACGCCGCCUCCCUCCUGAGUGUGCUGUGUAACCGAGGUCUAUGGACCUAUCAAAGGGUCUUGCUGCAUAUGGUUAGGGUUGCAUUGCGUGGAAGGGGCGAAUGGAGUGCUGAAAGCAGAAUCGUAGGAGAUGGUGCACAAUAUGAGGAAUGACAGUAAAGGCUUCAACUACGAUGAAGGUGAUGCCCAAUUUGACCAUUAGUAUAUUCUCAUCAAGGCAAUCUGUAAUUUCUGCUAUGACAUGGAUUUUCCAUUGUGAGGGGCGUCUCUCAUGAAGAAUGUGAUUUCUGCAUCAUACAACAUGUUGUUAGAACCUGAAUAUUCUAUGCAAGGAUUGACAUUUAAGAAGGA